CCACUUCCAGGUGAAGACAAAUCCGCACCAUUGAAGACUUUCAGUACCAACGCCGUGAAGACUGAAGGCUGUGAAUGUGAAAACUUGUUUAGGGUAGAGGAAUAAUAUAAAAUAAUUAAUUGUUUAGCUAUAUCCAAAAUUUGUUUAGACCAUGAUUAUUUGUUUUAUAUAUUUUGACUGUUUUGUGUUGUUUUUCUUUUGAAAAACAGACUUUGAGUUUGUGCUGUUCCGAGAGGCGAGAUCUGUCCGUUCAACUUUCAAGACUUCAAAGUUCAAGCUGGUGUCCGUAAAAAUUUCCUUUCGUUCUCCUGCUUGGUCGUUUGAUAUUUUUAAAAAGUACUAGCACGGAAAAGAAAUGGUUACACAUUUAGCAACUGUUUUAGAAGAUGACGAUUCUGAUGAAGAUGGCGUGGUGACUAAGGAAUGAAUACAACUAAGGAUGAGAUGAUGCCAAGAAAGGUGAAAAAUUUGAUUGUGAAGUCAUCGUUGAAGAGAGAAGGACGAGCUUUAUUGAACUUUUAAGUUGUAAACUUAUUUGAAUGUAUAAGACGUUUGCC